rnacentral:rRNA from 1 species
GUUAAGCGACUAAGCGUACACGGUGGAUGCCCUGGCAGUCAGAGGCGAUGAAGGACGUGCUAAUCUGCGAUAAGCGUCGGUAAGGUGAUAUGAACCGUUAUAACCGGCGAUUUCCGAAUGGGGAAACCCAGUGUGUUUCGACACACUAUCAUUAACUGAAUCCAUAGGUUAAUGAGGCGAACCGGGGGAACUGAAACAUCUAAGUACCCCGAGGAAAAGAAAUCAACCGAGAUUCCCCCAGUAGCGGCGAGCGAACGGGGAGCAGCCCAGAGCCUGAAUCAGUGUGUGUGUUAGUGGAAGCGUCUGGAAAGGCGCGCGAUACAGGGUGACAGCCCCGUACACAAAAAUGCACAUACUGUGAGCUCGAUGAGUAGGGCGGGACACGUGGUAUCCUGUCUGAAUAUGGGGGGACCAUCCUCCAAGGCUAAAUACUCCUGACUGACCGAUAGUGAACCAGUACCGUGAGGGAAAGGCGAAAAGAACCCCGGCGAGGGGAGUGAAAAAGAACCUGAAACCGUGUACGUACAAGCAGUGGGAGCCUCUUUUAUGGGGUGACUGCGUACCUUUUGUAUAAUGGGUCAGCGACUUAUAUUCUGUAGCAAGGUUAACCGAAUAGGGGAGCCGAAGGGAAACCGAGUCUUAACUGGGCGUUAAGUUGCAGGGUAUAGACCCGAAACCCGGUGAUCUAGCCAUGGGCAGGUUGAAGGUUGGGUAACACUAACUGGAGGACCGAACCGACUAAUGUUGAAAAAUUAGCGGAUGACUUGUGGCUGGGGGUGAAAGGCCAAUCAAACCGGGAGAUAGCUGGUUCUCCCCGAAAGCUAUUUAGGUAGCGCCUCGUGAAUUCAUCUCCGGGGGUAGAGCACUGUUUCGGCAAGGGGGUCAUCCCGACUUACCAACCCGAUGCAAACUGCGAAUACCGGAGAAUGUUAUCACGGGAGACACACGGCGGGUGCUAACGUCCGUCGUGAAGAGGGAAACAACCCAGACCGCCAGCUAAGGUCCCAAAGUCAUGGUUAAGUGGGAAACGAUGUGGGAAGGCCCAGACAGCCAGGAUGUUGGCUUAGAAGCAGCCAUCAUUUAAAGAAAGCGUAAUAGCUCACUGGUCGAGUCGGCCUGCGCGGAAGAUGUAACGGGGCUAAACCAUGCACCGAAGCUGCGGCAGCGACGCUUAUGCGUUGUUGGGUAGGGGAGCGUUCUGUAAGCCUGUGAAGGUGUGCUGUGAGGCAUGCUGGAGGUAUCAGAAGUGCGAAUGCUGACAUAAGUAACGAUAAAGCGGGUGAAAAGCCCGCUCGCCGGAAGACCAAGGGUUCCUGUCCAACGUUAAUCGGGGCAGGGUGAGUCGACCCCUAAGGCGAGGCCGAAAGGCGUAGUCGAUGGGAAACAGGUUAAUAUUCCUGUACUUGGUGUUACUGCGAAGGGGGGACGGAGAAGGCUAUGUUGGCCGGGCGACGGUUGUCCCGGUUUAAGCGUGUAGGCUGGUUUUCCAGGCAAAUCCGGAAAAUCAAGGCUGAGGCGUGAUGACGAGGCACUACGGUGCUGAAGCAACAAAUGCCCUGCUUCCAGGAAAAGCCUCUAAGCAUCAGGUAACAUCAAAUCGUACCCCAAACCGACACAGGUGGUCAGGUAGAGAAUACCAAGGCGCUUGAGAGAACUCGGGUGAAGGAACUAGGCAAAAUGGUGCCGUAACUUCGGGAGAAGGCACGCUGAUAUGUAGGUGAAGUCCCUCGCGGAUGGAGCUGAAAUCAGUCGAAGAUACCAGCUGGCUGCAACUGUUUAUUAAAAACACAGCACUGUGCAAACACGAAAGUGGACGUAUACGGUGUGACGCCUGCCCGGUGCCGGAAGGUUAAUUGAUGGGGUCAGCGCAAGCGAAGCUCUUGAUCGAAGCCCCGGUAAACGGCGGCCGUAACUAUAACGGUCCUAAGGUAGCGAAAUUCCUUGUCGGGUAAGUUCCGACCUGCACGAAUGGCGUAAUGAUGGCCAGGCUGUCUCCACCCGAGACUCAGUGAAAUUGAACUCGCUGUGAAGAUGCAGUGUACCCGCGGCAAGACGGAAAGACCCCGUGAACCUUUACUAUAGCUUGACACUGAACAUUGAGCCUUGAUGUGUAGGAUAGGUGGGAGGCUUAGAAGUGUGGACGCCAGUCUGCAUGGAGCCGACCUUGAAAUACCACCCUUUAAUGUUUGAUGUUCUAACGUGGACCCGUAAUCCGGGUUGCGGACAGUGUCUGGUGGGUAGUUUGACUGGGGCGGUCUCCUCCUAAAGAGUAACGGAGGAGCACGAAGGUUGGCUAAUCCUGGUCGGACAUCAGGAGGUUAGUGCAAUGGCAUAAGCCAGCUUGACUGCGAGCGUGACGGCGCGAGCAGGUGCGAAAGCAGGUCAUAGUGAUCCGGUGGUUCUGAAUGGAAGGGCCAUCGCUCAACGGAUAAAAGGUACUCCGGGGAUAACAGGCUGAUACCGCCCAAGAGUUCAUAUCGACGGCGGUGUUUGGCACCUCGAUGUCGGCUCAUCACAUCCUGGGGCUGAAGUAGGUCCCAAGGGUAUGGCUGUUCGCCAUUUAAAGUGGUACGCGAGCUGGGUUUAGAACGUCGUGAGACAGUUCGGUCCCUAUCUGCCGUGGGCGCUGGAGAACUGAGGGGGGCUGCUCCUAGUACGAGAGGACCGGAGUGGACGCAUCACUGGUGUUCGGGUUGUCAUGCCAAUGGCACUGCCCGGUAGCUAAAUGCGGAAGAGAUAAGUGCUGAAAGCAUCUAAGCACGAAACUUGCCCCG